rnacentral:rRNA from 1 species
UACAGAGGUCUCAAGCGUUGUUCGGAUUCAUUGGGCGUAAGGGUGCGUAGGCGGCGCGGUCAGUCGGGUGUGAAAUCUCGGAGCUUAACUCCGAAACUGCAUUUGAUACUGCCGUGCUUGAGGACUGGAGAGGAGACUGGAAUUUACGGUGUAGCGGUGAAAUGCGUAGAUAUCGUAAGGAAGACCAGUGGCGAAGGCGGGUCUCUGGACAGUUCCUGACGCUGAGGCACGAAGGUCAGGGGAGCAAACGGG